rnacentral:rRNA from 1 species
UACGUAGGGUGCAAGCGUUGUCCGGAAUUAUUGGGCGUAAAGAGCUCGUAGGCGGUCUGUCGCGUCUGGUGUGAAAAUCCAGGGCUUAACCCUGGACCUGCAUCGGGUACGGGCAGACUAGAGUGCGGUAGGGGAGAUCGGAAUUCCCGGUGUAGCGGUGAAAUGCGUAGAGAUCGGAAAGAACACCAGUGGCGAAGGCGACAACCUGGCUCCAGACUGACACUGAGGGGCGAAAGCGUGGGGAGCAAACAGG